UACGUAGGGUGCAAGCGUUGUCCGGAAUUAUUGGGCGUAAAGAGCUCGUAGGCGGUCUGUCGCGUCGGCUGUGAAAACUCGGGGCUCAACUCCGAGCUUGCAGUCGAUACGGGCAGGCUAGAGUUCGGCAGGGGAGACUGGAAUUCCGGGUGUAGCGGUGGAAUGCGUAGAGAUCCGGAAGAACACCAGUGGCGAAGGCGGCCCGCUGGGCAGUGGCUGACGCUGAGGCGCGACAGCGUGGGGAGCAAACAGG
rnacentral:rRNA from 1 species